GAGUGCAGUAGUAUAAACAUGGCUCACUGCAGCCGAACUCCCAGGCUCAAGUGAUCCUUCCUCCUCAGCCUCCCAAGUAGCUGGGACCACAGGUAUUUGCCACCAUGCCUGGCUAAUCUUUAUUUUUUGUAGAGACGAGGUCUUGCUAUGUUGCAAGAGGGAGAUCACUUAAGUGAUCUUCCCUCAUUGGCUUCCCAAAGUGUUGGGAUUCCAGGCGUGAGCCACUGCACCCCGCCUGACCUAACUAUUUUAAACACUACUCAUAUUGCCAUCAUCUAAAUUCAACAACAAUUUGCCAUAUUUGCUUUAUGUAUAUGUAUAAUUAUAUAUUUAUAAAAUUUUUUGAACCAUGUGAAGUUGCAAACAUCAUUGAACUUCACCACUAAAUAUAUCAGCAUGCAUCUCCUAAAAAUCAGGUAUUUUCUUACAAAACCAUAAUUCUGCUAUCUAUUAUGAUUUAACAUUCUGUCAUUUUCAAAUUUCUUCAGGUGUUUUUUGUUACAUCUUAAAGAACAGACGUUCUUGGAUCUCAAAGAUUCCGAGGAAGGAAAGAACAUGGUGGAUAAUCCAUAAUUAAGAAGUUUGAAUCUUUUCCUAGUCUUAAAAACAAAGUGAGAACUAAAGGGGUUUACCUUCCAUCAAAGUUGAACAAAUUAAUUCUUUUGUGUGUCAUACUUUCUGUCUCUCUCCCUAAAAACAUGGGGGUGGUAAUCUCUUUGUUUUAUCUGGUAGGUUUUCCAGAUAAAAGAUUAUACAGGUUUGGAAUCUUAAUAUCCAACCCCCAACUCCAAGCCCUGCCCCAACAACAACAGCUAAUUAUUUUACAUCUUGAUGAUGGUAAAUUUUUCAUGAUUAACCAAUUUUGGGCACCUAUUCCGCCAUAUAUGGUUUUAUUUAAUUUUCACAGCAACACUUCAAAGUUGAUAUUCAUAUUCUAAAUUUAUAGAUGAACGAAGAGGCUCAAAGAUUAAACAACUUGCUAAUAAGUGAUUUUUACCCAUGCUUUUUCCAUUAUAUUAUGUUUUGGAUUUUUCCAGAGUACCCAAACCCAGCAGAUGCAUACUGCUCCAAAAUAAAUGGAACUCAAUACUGGCUCUGUCAAGUGUCUCUUGCCAAUCAAUUGUCCUUCUAAUCUUUUGAGGGGCAGUUCUCUCAGUUGUACCAAGUCACUGUCAUCCCCAAACUUUUCAAUGAUUCCAGGCCUUUAACAACUCCCCUCCACCUCCAAACCCUCUCUCACCAAAUUGUGUAAUUUCUUUGUUUACUGCUGGCUUCAUCAUGCACUUUUCCUUCAUAGCCUAUUUUAAGAAGUUGAUUUGCUGAACUGCUUUUUAGCCAAGCUAUUUGUAAAUCAAGCUACACAAAGUAUGUGGCCAUAAUUUCCAAAAGGCAAAUGAUCAUUGUUCAAUUGCUGUUGCUCUGCAGUGUGCAUUCAUGCAGUUAAAAAUUGUACUGCAUUGAUAGUACGGCAUCAGAGAAUAGAUCACUUAGGUUCAAAUCCCAGUGCAUGAUCCUGAGCAAGAUUAUCAUAUCUAGAUACAUUAGUUUUUAUCUGUGAAAUGGGAAUGAUAGCACAAUCUUCAUAGAAUUGUUGGUAAGGAUUAAGUGAGUUGAUAUGCUCAAAGUGUGCAUGCUGGCAUAGAACAAGUCACUGUUUACAAGCCUUUAAAGAAGGAGCUGUUCUGGCACUGUAAACUUGAACCUUUUUUCCCCAAAUCUAAUGGAUAUAGGCAAGGAAAUUAUAUUUAUAUAAAAUAAAUGUUUGACUACCUUUGAUCAUAAACUUUAUUCUCAUCUUGACCUGUUCCUUUGAAAAGAUAAUAAAUACUGAUAUGUGAAAAA
rnacentral:lncRNA from 10 species